rnacentral:rRNA from 2 species
UGACCUUUGACCUCAAAUCAGGUAGGAUUACCCGCUGAACUUAAGCAUAUCAAUAAGCGGAGGAAAAGAAACUAACAAGGAUUCCCCUAGUAACUGCGAGUGAAGCGGGAAAAGCUCAAAUUUAAAAUCUGGCGGUCUUAUGGCCGUCCGAGUUGUAGUCUGGAGAAGUGCUUUCCGCGCUGGACCGUGUACAAGUCUCUUGGAACAGAGCGUCAUAGAGGGUGAGAAUCCCGUCUUUGACACGGACUACCAGUGCUUUGUGAUGUGCUCUCAAAGAGUCGAGUUGUUUGGGAAUGCAGCUCAAAAUGGGUGGUAAAUUCCAUCUAAAGCUAAAUAUUGGCGAGAGACCGAUAGCGAACAAGUACCGUGAGGGAAAGAUGAAAAGCACUUUGGAAAGAGAGUUAAACAGUACGUGAAAUUGCUGAAAGGGAAACGCUUGAAGUCAGUCGCGUUGGCCAGGACUCAGCCUUGCUUUUGCUUGGUGCAUUUUCUGGUUGACGGGCCAGCAUCGAUUUUGACCAUUGGAAAAAGAUUAGGGGAAUGUGGCACCUUCGGGUGUGUUAUAGCCCUUAGUCACGGAUACAGUGGUUGGGAUACGAGGACCGCAGCACGCCUUUAUUGACCGGGGUUGGUAGAAGCCCCGUUCGUGCUUAGGAUGCGGAGAAGUGUCACACC